UACGGAAUAGCUCUGGGAAACUGGAAUUAAUACCGUAUACGCCCUACGGGGGAAAGAUUUUAUCGGGGAAGGAUUGGCCCGCGUUGGAUUAGCUAGUUGGUGGGGUAAAGGCCUACCAAGGCGACGAUCCAUAGCUGGUCUGAGAGGAUGAUCAGCCACAUUGGGACUGAGACACGGCCCAAACUCCUACGGGAGGCAGCAGUGGGGAAUAUUGGACAAUGGGCGCAAGCCUGAUCCAGCCAUGCCGCGUGAGUGAUGAAGGCCUUAGGGUUGUAAAGCUCUUUCACCGAUGAAGAUCAUGACGGUAGUCGGAGAAGAAGCCCCGGCUAACUUCGUGCA
rnacentral:rRNA from 1 species